UCCUGCUAUUCUAUUCAGGGUUCUAUUUAGAACCCUGGUGAGCCUAGACCUUUGUUCCAUCAUUAAGCCUUUGACAGAAACUUGGUGCCUUAGUCUGUGCUGGUGAUGGGGGUAAAAAGGGGAUUUCAGCUGAACCUGACCCCUGAGAUAAAUUAGUCCUCCUAUUCCUUGUGUAUGUCAUCAUCCACAACACCCGAAAGUAUGUAAACCAUAUCUUCACCAUUAAGAAAAAGAUUUUUGGCCCGUCGCAAGAUGGCGGCGGCCAUGCCAGGCCCCGGGGCCGUGUGUGCGCAGCGGGCGGCGGCAGCGCGGCCCAGGCAGCAGGCGCGGCGGCUGCGCUAGCCCGUCCCUCGGCCUCUCUUUGCGGUUGCUACCUCCUCCUCUCCCGUCUCGCCCGGUAUGGAUCUGCCCGUGGGCCCGGGCGCGGCGGGGCCCAGCAACGUCCCGGCCUUCCUCACCAAGCUGUGGACCCUCGUGAGCGACCCGGACACGGACGCGCUCAUCUGCUGGAGCCCGAGCGGAAACAGCUUCCACGUGCUGGACCAGGGCCAGUUUGCCAAGGAGGUGCUGCCCAAGUACUUCAAGCACAGCAACAUGGCUAGCUUCGUGCGGCAGCUCAACAUGUAUGGCUUCCAGAAGGUGGUCCACAUCGAGCAGGGUGGCCUGGUCAAGCCAGAGAGGGACGACACCGAGUUCCAGCACCCGUGCUUCCUGCGAGGCCAGGAGCAGCUCCUCGAGAACAUCAAGAGGAAAGUGACCAGUGUGUCCACUCUGCGGAGCGAGGACAUAAAGAUUCGCCAGGACAGCAUUACCAAGCUGCUGACCGACGUGCAGCUGAUGAAGGGGAAGCAGGAGAGCAUGGACUCCAAGCUGCUGGCCAUGAAGCAUGAGAACGAGGCGCUGUGGCGAGAGGUGGCCAGCCUGCGGCAGAAGCACGCCCAGCAACAGAAAGUCGUCAACAAGCUCAUCCAGUUCCUCAUCUCGCUGGUGCAGUCAAACCGGAUCCUAGGGGUGAAGAGAAAGAUCCCCCUGAUGCUGAACGACGGCAGCCCCGCGCACCCCAUGCCCAAGUACGGCUGGCAGUACUCGCUGGAGCACAUCCACGGCCCAGGCUCCUACCCGGCCGCUUCCCCAGCCUACAGCGGAUCCAGCCUCUACACCCCAGACGCUGUCGCCAGCUCCGGACCCAUCAUCUCUGACAUCACUGAACUGGCCCCCGGCAGCCCCGUGGCCUCUGCAGGCAGGAGUGUAGAUGAGAGGCCCCUGUCCAGCAGUCCCCUGGUUCGCGUCAAGGAGGAGCCCCCAAGCCCACCACAGAGCCCCCGGGCAGAGGGUGCCAGCCCCAGCCGACCGUCCGCCAUGGUGGAGACGCCUCUGUCCCCGACCACCCUCAUUGACUCCAUCCUCCGGGAGAGCGAGCCCACGCCCGCCGCCUCCACCACACCCCUCGCGGACACUGGGGGCCGCCCCGCCUCGCCCCUGCCGGCUUCAGCUCCCGAGAAGUGCCUCAGCGUCGCCUGCCUGGACAAGACCGAGCUCAGUGACCACUUGGACGCCAUGGACUCCAACCUGGACAACCUGCAGACCAUGCUGACAACCCAUGGCUUCAGCGUGGACACCAGCACCCUGCUGGAUCUGUUCAGCCCCUCGGUGACGGUUCCCGACAUGAGCCUGCCGGACCUGGACAGCAGCCUGGCCAGCAUCCAGGAGCUCCUCUCUCCCCAGGAGCCCCCCAGACCUCUGGAGGCAGAGAAAAGCAGCCCAGACUCAGGGAAGCAGCUGGUGCACUACACCGCCCAGCCCCUGCUGCUGCUGGACCCAGGCUCCGUGGACGUGGGGAGCAGCGACCUGCCGGUGCUCUUCGAGCUCGGGGAGGGCUCCUACUUCUCCGAGGGAGACGACUACUCGGAUGACCCCACCAUCUCCCUGCUGACAGGCUCAGAGCCCCCCAAAGCCAAGGACCCCACUGUCUCCUAGAAGCCCCAGGAGGAGAGCCAGCCUUGGGCGGGCCUGGUUGUCGGGGAGCCUGGUCCGCUGGCCGGCGGGGGGUCGUGGACCCCGGCCAGCACCGAGGGCCUAGCCCUGUGAGCCACAGCUCGCCUGGGCUUCAUGGCCACACUCAGACUGACCAGGACGCAGGUGUUCAUAGAAUUGUAUUUUGGAUUUUUACACGAGUCCCCCUUUCCCCUUCCAUAGAGAUAUACAGAUAUAUACAUGGACGAACAGACCGAUGAGCCAGGCAGAGAUUUAUAAACAACGAAAAAAAAAAAAAA